CUUCUUAAGAUAUAUUUAAGAUAUUUCCUGCUCGGUGUUCGUAUAAACAGCCGCAGUAACUUGACUGUGCUAAGGUAGCAUAAUCAUUUGGCUAUUAAUUAUAGUCUGGCAUGAAAGGGGGGACGUGGGUAAACUAUUGGGAGUAUUACUAUGAAGUUAGUUAUUUGGUGAAAAUACCAAAACAAGAUAAAAAAGACGAGAAGACCCUAGGAGUUAAUAGUUAAGUUUGUUGGGGCAACAGAGGAUAAGAUCUUUGACAAUAAGUUACGACGCAGUAAGUACUAGUAACUACCCUAGGGAUAACAGCACAAUUGAUGUAUCAGCUUGUGACCUCGAUGUUGGACUAGGAAAUUUUUUGUCUAGAAGACGAAAUUCUGUACUCUGUUCGAGUAAUAGUUUCCU
rnacentral:rRNA from 1 species